UGGGGAAUAUUGCACAAUGGGCGAAAGCCUGAUGUAGCAACGCCGCGUGAGUGAUGAAGGUCUUCGGAUUGUAAAGCUCUGUCUUUUGGGACGAUAAUGACGGUACCAAAGGAGGAAGCCACGGCUAACUACGUGCCAGCAGCCGCGGUAAUACGUAGGUGGCGAGCGUUGUCCGGAUUUACUGGGCGUAAAGGGUGCGUAGGCGGAUGUUUAAGUGAGAUGUGAAAUACCCGGGCUUAACUUGGGUGCUGCAUUUCAAACUGGAUAUCUAGAGUGCAGGAGAGGAGAAUGGAAUUCCUAGUGUAGCGGUGAAAUGCGUAGAGAUUAGGAAGAACACCAGUGGCGAAGGCGAUUCUCUGGACUGUAACUGACGCUGAGGCACGAAAGCGUGGGUAGCAAACAGGAUUAGAUACCCUGGUAGUCCACGCCGUAAACGAUGAGUACUAGGUGUAGGAGGUAUCGACCCCUUCUGUGCCGCAGUAAACACAUUAAGUACUCCGCCUGGGAAGUACGAUCGCAAGAUUAAAACUCUAAAGUGAAUUGACGGGGUC
rnacentral:rRNA from 1 species